GGGGAUCUAGCUCAUCGGUAGAGCGCUCCCUUAGCACCAAGUGGAGAAUCCGGGAGUCGAACCCGGAUUCAAUUCAUGCUUGGGAGAGGCGCCGGGUUCGACUCCCUGGUUCUCCA